GUGGGGCUCAGUGGUUAAGAGCACUGGCUCAGAGGACCUGGAUUCAAUUCCCAGCACCCACA
rnacentral:tRNA from 1 species